GGCUGAAAUUCGCCUUCCAUGAAGCCGGAAUUGCUAGUAAUGGCAGGUCAGCAUACUGCCGUGAAUACGUUCCCGGGCCUUGUACACACCGCCCGUCACACCAUGAGAGUUGGGGAUACCCGAAGCCUGUGAGCUAACAGUAAUGGAGCAGCAGUCGAAGGUAGAAUCAAUGAUUGGGGUGAAGUCGUAACAAGGUAAC
rnacentral:rRNA from 1 species